rnacentral:rRNA from 1 species
UGGGGAAUAUUGGACAAUGGGGGCAACCCUGAUCCAGCCAUGCCGCGUGAGUGAUGAAGGCCUUAGGGUUGUAAAACUCUUUCAGUGGUGACGAUAAUGACGGUAGCCACAGAAGAAGCCCCGGCUAACUCCGUGCCAGCAGCCGCGGUAAUACGGAGGGGGCUAGCGUUGUUCGGAAUUACUGGGCGUAAAGCGUCUGCAGGUGGCCGUUCAAGUCUGCUGUUAAAGCUCGGGGCUCAACUCCGAAUCGGCAGUGGAAACUGGAUAGCUAGAGUGCGGUAGGGGUAGAGGGAAUUCCCAGUGUAGCGGUGAAAUGCGUAGAUAUUGGGAAGAACACCAGUGGCGAAGGCGCUCUACUGGGCCGCAACUGACACUGAGGGACGAAAGCUAGGGGAGCGAAUGGGAUUAGAUACCCCCGUAGUCC